CGAGCUAUAGCCCUACAUCUCCUAGUUAUAGCCCAACAUCGCCUAGCUAUAGCCCUACUUCUCCUGCAUACAGCCCCACUUCGCCUGCCUACAGCCCCACUUCGCCUGCCUACAGCCCCACUUCUCCAUCUUACAGCCCCACUUCGCCAUCUUACAGCCCCACCUCACCUUCUUACAGCCCCACCUCGCCUUCAUAUAGCCCCACCUCACCAAGUUAUAGUCCAACUUCUCCAUCAUAUAGUCCCACUUCUCCUGCAUACAGUCCUACCUCCCCUGGUUACAGCCCAACAUCUCCCAGUUACAGCCCAACAUCACCAUCAUAUAGUCCUACAU
rnacentral:lncRNA from 1 species